UGUGCUUCCCUGAAGUGUGCCCUGU
rnacentral:piRNA from 1 species